CGGAGAGCGGGUUCCGUCCCCUCCUCGCCCCGGCCUGUAACUGCUGCGGGGGCCGCUUUCUGGGCCCGCCCCUCCAGGCCAGGAGCCUUUUUCAAAAUGUGGCGGUGGCAGGGAAGGUUGUCUGCUCCAGAGGCUUCCCUAGAGUGAAGAGCUCUACUAUGUAUGCUUUAUGCGGCAGAAGGAGUGCUUUGGAGGAGUUUUUAAAUUUGUUUUUUUUUUAAAUCUUAUCGGUUUUAAUUGUAGCAAUGAUUCAAGAAACGUUAGUAGGUGCCCAUAACUUCGGUGGUGGAGAUCCAAAAGUGAACAAGACAGUGUUCUGGCUGCUAAAUUCUUCUUAACUGGUUAUGCCUGGAGACCUUCACUUGGUUCUGUGCCAGCACUGCCCAUGAACUUCAUAGACUGUGAUCUUUGCUAAGGCCUAAAUGAAUGAAGUGCAGGUGCAGGACCGGAAGCAGAAGACAGAAAGUGGAGACCAGAUGUUUGAAGCUGGGUAAAGGCAGGGAUGGAGCAGGAACCGAGGAACAAACCUUGGAACUAGCCACUUGAUUGCCGAGCCCCAUAGAAGACAUAAUUUACAAGAAACUCAUAGAGACUCAAAAUGUAAGGUUCUCUGAAAGAAAUUGAGGUGUAGUUCUUAG
rnacentral:lncRNA from 1 species